rnacentral:rRNA from 1 species
UACGGGGGGGGCAAGCGUUGUUCGGAAUUACUGGGCGUAAAGGGCUCGUAGGCGGCCAACUAAGUCCGACGUGAAAUCCCUCGGCUUAACCGGGGAACUGCGUCCGAUACUGGAUGGCUUGAGUUUGGGAGAGGGAUGCGGAAUUCCAGGUGUAGCGGUGAAAUGCGUAGAUAUCUGGAGGAACACCGGUGGCGAAGGCGGCAUCCUGGACCAACACUGACGCUGAUGAGCGAAAGCCAGGGGAGCAAACGGG